rnacentral:rRNA from 1 species
UACAGAGGUCUCAAGCGUUGUUCGGAUUCAUUGGGCGUAAAGGGUGCGUAGGCGGCGCGGUAAGUCGGGUUUGAAAUUUCGAGGCUUAACUUCGAAACUGCAUUCGAUACUGCCGUGCUUGAGGACUGGAGAGGAGACUGGAAUUUACGGUGUAGCGGUGAAAUGCGUAGAUAUCGAGAGGAACACCUGCGGCGAAGGCGGGUUGCUGGGCGGACACUGACGCUGAUGCGCGAAAGCCAGGGGAGCGAACGGG